rnacentral:misc_RNA from 1 species
AAGCCGGCCACACCGUGAACGUCGUGGAGGAGGCUGUGUCGGAGGCCGUAGCCGCUGCAAAAGAUAAUACUGAGGAGACUCUGUCGGGGGCCAUGGCUGCUGCAAAAGAUGGUGGCCGAUUCAAGGGGACGGUGAAAUGGUUCAACGAGUCGAAUGGCUUUGGAUACAUUACUCCGGAUGAUGGCUGCAGGGAUGUCUUCGUCCACUUUUCGGCGAUCGUCGGUAAUGGUUUCAAGACGCUCGCCGAGGGUCAACACGUUGAGUACCGGAUUGUGGAGGAAAACAAAGGCCCGGCCGCUAUUGACGUCGUUGCUGUGGCGUAGGCGUUGUUCAGAAUAAUGGAGGGGUGCAAUAUCGUUUCUGUUUAUGUUGUGUGUAUGCAUUUAGGGUUUGUUUUGUUUUGGUAAGCAAUAAGGGUUGUUUUGUAAUGGUUUGUGCGGUAGCUGGUGUUGUU